GAGUUUCAGCCUUCUGUGGAGGCACUUAUUCAUUUCCUUCCACCUAGUCGGCAACUGUUGAUGUUUUCAGCAACCUUUCCUGUAACUGUCAAGGAAUUCAAAGAGAAAUAUCUGCCUAGACCUUAUGUGAUUAAUCUAAUGGAUGAACUGACACUGAAAGGAAUCACACAAUAUUAUGCUUUUGUUGAAGAAAGGCAGAAAGUUCAUUGCCUGAAUACACUUUUCUCAAAGGUACAACAAACAUUAACUCUACAUUUUCUGUUUCAUCCACAGUUAAGUGUAAACUGACACAUUUCCUUUUUUUUUGUGUUUGUUUUUGUCAGCUUCAAAUUAAUCAAUCCAUUAUAUUCUGCAACUCUGUUAAUAGAGUUGAGCUACUGGCUAAGAAAAUAACUGAACUCGGUUAUUCAUGCUUCUACAUUCAUGCUAAGAUGUUGCAAGACCACAGAAACCGAGUGUUUCAUGAUUUUCGUAAUGGUGCUUGCAGAAACCUUGUGUGCACAGGUCUGUACUGAUAUUUUCCUAUCUUAGUAGUCUUUCUCAAUUUAGUAACUUACUUUUCAGCAUAUGUUCAAUUGUCAUUUAUGAAGGUUUCUAUAAGAGUAUCAUGGCUCUCUUUGUUGCAGAUCUGUUUACCAGAGGAAUUGAUAUCCAGGCUGUUAAUGUGGUCAUUAAUUUUGACUUUCCUAAGACAUCUGAGACAUAUUUACACAGGGUGCCUUUUUUAAUCUUUUCUUCUCUAGAAGCUGUUUAUUUUGUAACCUUUUGGAAUUUAAAAUUAAUGUGUGUUGUCAUGUUCCUAGGUUGGCCGUUCUGGAAGAUAUGGACACCUCGGUUUGGCAGUGAACUUGAUCACAUAUGAGGACCGUUUCAACUUGUAAGCCUGUGUUAAUAAAAUGGCCUAUUUCUCUAGUCUUGCAUCAAGAUUCCUUAUCCUUUUGUCCCUUUGUUUUGCAGGUAUAGGAUUGAGCAAGAACUUGGAACAGAGAUUAAGACAAUACCCCCACAGAUUGACCUGGCCGUAUACUGCCAAUGAUGAGUGCCACAGUUUCAGGAUCAUCAAACACAUUUUAUUUUUUUAAGAAACUUAUCAGGCAAAUACAUCUGUACAUAGCAACCCAUCAAGUGAGUUCUCCAACCAAAUGCGCCACUAUUUCCAAAGCUACCUAAAUGGCUACAUUUCUAUAUCGUCACAGAUAUCAAAUUCUCUCCCAUUCUUGUAGGGUUUUGUUUUGGCACCUUGAUGACGUUUGUAACAUUGGAUUAGUAGAGGAAGUGCUUCCUGUAGGCACUGAUACUAACCCGUUUAGCUGAGGACAUGCACACUGGGCUGCUUCGAGAUGAGACGAGACAUCUUACCUCACUUGACAUUUUCAUUCUACUUGUUUUCCAGUCUCAGUUCUAAUUGAGUUGCCUGUUAUCAUUUGAUUCAUCUUCCAUUGUCUUCUUUCCUAAUGUUAUGAUGCAUAGAGAUGUCUUUCUGUAGACGUAUCUUUUGUUGAUUUUGAUUUUUCAUGGUGUGUAUACAGUUUAACUUGAAAUCAUUUCUGUAUCAACUUUGCGAGAAUACCUGUCUUGUAGUAGAAUCAAUAUGUACACGAGAACUAGCAGUUAGAAGUACCACAAAACGAUGCCGUGGCCUGCUGGCGUGGUGUCCGGCUUAUCCUGUUUCCGAUUAGGGCGUUUAGAUUGUUUACUCCUUUUUUUACCACUUGAAUGGUUAACUAUUUAAUUUCCGUCUACUCCCUAAUAGAAAUAACAUUCCACCAUUUAUUGUUUAGCCGGCUGUUUAGCCCGUUUAGGCGAACACUGCGUCCGAUGUUGGGCCAAUGAAGGCCUCAAAUUAGCUGAGCCCUCUAUCCAUUGGAAAUAAAGAGUUUUUUAAUGAAUGAACAAUAUUUUUGUAACAAAUCAGUAUAUGCAGGAGUCAAAUUUUAGCAAAGCGAACAGGGUGCGUCCAUGGUGGAGCCACCUAGGACAUCUGUGCUGGGGAAGAGAUGGAUGUUGAAAAGUUAUGACUGAAAUUACUGUUCGUUGAUUUAUUGUGAGAGAAAAACUCUGUUGGCUGAGAAAACAUACGACUUAGGCCUUGUUUAAUUGUAAAGAAGCGGCGAACGGAUAAUGUAAACAAAGCCAAACUCAUCGGUCUCAAGUGCUUGGGCCAUGUAAUAUUCAUGCAACUCACGCAGUUGUGUGGGCAACUCUUUGAACUUGUUCUCAAAAACCAAAAAAUGGCCUCUUACAUACUUAUAUGUCAAUGGUGCCACCCCAACUGAUUCCCAGUAGAGGUCUUCGGCGUACUGCGUGUUCAACGUGAGGUUGGCUUCCAUCAACUUGUUUACAUUCCUUUGAUGUUCAUGGAAUAUUGCGUCGGCCAUUUUAUUAUUGUACUUGUUCUGUGUAUGCCUUUCUUUUUCAUUCCUCUUCAAGGCCUUAGGUACACUGGCAAUUAGAUUAAAGAAAGGAACAUAUUUUUCUUUAGGUAUACCAAGAAAGGAACAUAUUUUUCCUUAGGUAUACCGGCAGUGACUUUCUGGUUCAUCAAGUUUAUAAUGCUGACACUAAAGGGCUUUUUGUUUUUCUCAUUCUCAACUGAUCCCGAGGACCUUUUGUGCGACUGUGAUGAUUUGUUUGAUGUUUCUUUCCGUAAAGGAGCAUGAGAGCCAUGUCCUCUUCGAGGAGGAGGAAUAUUAUCCCUGCCUGAUGUAGACGGGCUAGGAGAAAGAGGAGGACUCUGCCAGCGAUGAGGGGGAGAACGAGGAUGAGGUGAGGAGGGGUCUACGAGGGGUGAAAGCCCUAUUUUAGUUUUAUAUAAUUGAUGAAAUUCAAAGUACUAACCUCUAUGCUAAGUGUGUAGAUUAGAUGAGGUUGAUACAUGUCAAGUGAUGGAGCAAGAGAUGAUCAUGGUGAUGUUGGUGAUGACUACAAGGUGAUCAAGUACUCAACUUAAAAAGAAGAAAGAGAAAAAAAUAAAACCCUUCGGAGAUCAAAGCAAAGAUAUUGCUUAGAGUUUUGGUUUUGGUAAUCAAGACACCAUAUAGAGUGUCAUCACGUUUAGAAUAGAUAACCGUACUAUAAAGAGGGAAAAUUCUUUGGCUAAGCGAUUAUUGAGUGCCAUUAGGUGAUAAUGUUCAUGUGCAUGCAUUUAGAACCUACUGAGCUAACUUAACUCCUUCGAAGAAAAUGAUUGUGAAAAUACUAACACACUUGCACUUGUUGAUACACACAUGGUGGUGUUGGCACACUUUAAAAAGGAGGUGGAGUUUGAAGUAUAGAGGGCAACGGGUAUAUUACCCGCGUGUGCGAGAUAUAUAGACCCGCACUUGCGGGUUGAAUUCCCAACCCGCACCUGCACCCGUAACCCGCCACGGGUAGAAGUCUACACCCACGCCUGUACCCGCGGGUGUACCUGUGAACCUGCAUAAUAAUAAAUUAAUAAUACAUGCAUAGAUUAUAGAAAAGAGUUUAAGUAUGAAAAUCAAAACUACUUAGCAUUAUACCAAUAUAAAAAUGGUUCUCUUAUAUAUAAAUAGAUAUGAGGGAGGAAAUCAUAAAACUAUGUUGCUUUCUUUAUAUAUAGUAUAAGAAGGGACCUACAUAUCAUGAGGUUUGAGCAGGUUUGUAGGUACGGGUAUAAGUUUUCUAUGCUCACAAGUUUUUACCCAUUGGGUUCAAUUACAAACCCGCACCCACACCCACGGGUACCCUCACCCUACCAGGUUUUUACCUGCGGGCACGCGGGUAAUCUGUACCCGUUGCCAUCUUUAGUUUGAAGGGUAGAGAGGGGUUUGGGUUCAAUGUUUUUGAGAAAAUGAAAUACAUAUUUUCUAUUGCGUUGGUGGAAAGUUUAGAGAAGUCGUAGGAGUGUUUUUUACUGGAAAAACACUCAUCGGACACCGGCCGUGGAUGCGUCGGACGCUGGCCCAGCGUCCGGUGUUCUCUGGCUGAGCGGCGCAAGAGAGAAGUGUGUGUCAGAGCGUCCAACGAGGAGCGUCGAAUGCGGCCUGCACACUUUUCCUGUGUCUGGUGAAGCGUGAUGUCAACAAAUGCUUGAGCGAGCUUCUCUGGCUAUGAUCGUCGGAUGCCAGGGAGCGUCUCGUGAGGGUGCAUCGGACGCAUCUAACGGCCCUACCUACUUGCAAUGCUUCCUGAGUAGCGUCCGGUGCUGAGGGGCGCGUCCAGUGCAUACCACCUGACAGGUCCGACGGUUUGAACCUGUGAACUCGAACAUUUAAGUGACCGUUAGAGAUCGACGCGUGAGAUUUAAAAGCUAGACAGGUGCCUGUCAUCUAAGCAUCAGACGCUGGGUUCUAGCGUCCGCUGGCUAACCGUAUGCGCGUCCAACGCUCCUGUUUUGUGUGUAGUGAGAGAGUCAACGACUCUAUUUGUUUGGGGGUUUGGCCGGCUUGGGGUUCACGCUCUUGGCAUUCUAGUAUACUUGACAUCCUUGUGAGCCUAAGCAAACACCUCUCACUCAUCUCCUUUAUAGAUUAACCAUCUUUGUGAGAUUGGAAGUGAUUCCAAGUGCAUUUGCUUGAGUGAUUGCUGUCUAGUGGCACUUAAAGAUCGAUUUGGCUGCAGUUUUCUUGUUACUCUUGAUGGUUGCUGUCACCUAGAUGGCUUGGAGCAACGGAGAAGCAUUGACACGAGUUGGUGAUUGUUCGUGGCCAUCUUCCGAUGAUUGUGAGGAGUUUUGUACCUUCCCCGACGGAGAGCUGAAAGUAACUCUAGUGGAUUGCUUGUAUCAUUGAGCUACCUCACUUGUGGGUUGAUUCUUAUGGUGUUCUAGUAAGGACGAGGUUCGUGCAACACCUUUUAGCCGUCGAACCACCAAGUAUUGAUCGAUACAACGGGGACAUAGCGUGCCGGUAAGCACAUGAAUCUCGGGAGAAAAAUUUGUAUCUCCAUUGUUAUUGUUCAUUGAAUUUCUUCUGGACUUCAUAUUAUUGUUAUUGGUUCAUGCCCUCUACGCGGCGGUAUAAAGAUCAAAAUCCUCUCAAUUACUUUUCCGCAAACUAGAGUAGCUUACUUACUUGUAUUGAAAUUUUUUAGAAGCUCUCUAGUGUAAGUAGAGACAGUUCUUUGUGUGCCUAGUGACAAUAGCAACUAGAAAUAUUGGAUAGGUGGCUUGCAAACACCUCUUUAGAGCUAGAGCAAAAAACUUCGCUUUGUUAUUUACUAACCUCUUGCUCUAGUGAGCUUGUAGAAUUUUUAAAUAGGCUAUUCACCCCCUCUAGCCAUAUUAGGACCUUUCAAGAGGUCUACUGACCAGGAGGAGAAGAAGACCUUCUAGGUGGUGAUAGCAAUGGAGGGUCAUCUCUCCUCAGAGAUGCUGAGUGCUAGGGCGAAGAGUUGCAUUCUUCCUCAUCAUCCGAGGACAUCUCGCUGUCAAGCUUAAUGCAGUGCUUGCGCUAGGCCACAUGAAAACCCUUGUUCUAAACAAGUUUCGGCAUGUUUUAGCAUGAUCAUGUUCCCAACCCCAGUAGCAACUAUGGCAGCUUCGAUAACCAUGCAGACGCCAUCCAUGUACCGCUUGUUUGAUCGAGAUAGAUACAUCCACUCUCGAUCCAUCUCUGCUGAAAAAUUGCAGAGAAAUUAAUAACUAAUGGAUAAGCUUCAUGAACAAUUUGUAAAGCUUGAAAACACCAUAUAUAACUUAAAACACUUAGGCUGAGCAUUUUUUUCAUUUUUUUAAAAUUGUUUUAGGUUUAAAAUUCAAUAAAUGACACGUUCAAAACAGAUUUUAAAAGUCAUGAAUACCUAAAUGUAGGUCCAAACUAUUAGUAAACUCAUGAGUCCCAUAAAAACAAUUAUUAUACACUAAUAACAAACAUUUUUUACUCAAUGCCACUAAUCUACUCAAUGACACUAAUCUACUUAAGUUUUUUAAAUAAAAAAAUAAUUGCAUACUUGAUCAUGAACAUCAAACAAUGUGUCAACUCCGAACAAAAAUGUAAAAUAAUCUACUCUACUCCUAACAUGAACUAAUUCGAGCAUCACAUACUAACAAUCAUCUUGAUCAAACCAUGAAAUUUCCAAAGAUUUCAAAUGAGGUCAUGAUAUAUAGACAAAAACCUGUAGCUUUUAUGGAUGAUGGAGAUGAUGUAUAUAUUCCUCACAAAUUGCUUGGAGGCUUUGCACAAAAUUCAAUUGCUUGCUCUCUAGGAUGGAGGAAGAACUAAAAUGAGAAUCAAGCAAUGUAGCCUUCAAAACUAGAUAAUUAAGCACCAAAAUCGAUGGAGUGGAUGCCCCUUACUAACCUUAAAGCAAAAAGAUCAAGCUAUUCUUUAAAAUCCAAGAGAGAGAGUCACGGGGAAAAGCAGCCGCAACAAUGGAGGGAAUGGCCCACGCAAGCUCCUGUGUUCUCGGGAUAGGAGUGAGGAGGAACCGAGGAAGCAGAGGAAGGCUGCAGACUUUUUGUGUUGUCAGAGAUAUCACUGGCGGCUCAGGUGCUGGAUUGGCAGUGAAAGGUGAAGAAGGACAAUACUGUAGGUCCUAGUAACAAGCCGGCUGUGAUAAAUCCAUCAUUGUCGGCUCUUCCCCUCCUCGAUCAUUCAAAGCCUGUCAAAGCUUUGAACCAGUAGUGAAGACUCAUCACUGCCGGUUCUGUCAUUCCAGCAGUGAUGUCGCCGGCAGUCAUGAAGCGUUCUGUAGUAGUGUGAUUCUAGUUGGUGUAUCCUUGUACGAGUAAUAAGAACCAAAUCCAACAAAUUUUCCGCCUGAGUUCACCUUAAUCAUUGGGAUUUAAUAACUAGUUAUGUUUAGUGGCAUGUAAAUGUAGCUUGAAGUUAUGCUAAAACUCUAUCUCCGUGACAUUAAAUCUUGAGCGGUAUUGCUUUAUAUAAGUUUAAACAUUUUCACGACACAUCAACAUUGGUAGUUUGAUUGUAUCAUUGUAAGCACUUUUUAUAUAAAUGAAUGAUACAAUAAGCAUGGGCCACUUACUUCAUACUGCAUGCUACGAACUUCUGUUAAACAUUAUUGUAAAUGUGUAAUGAUACUACUAAAUGCCAAGUUCCCCCUUGUUUAACGACGGGACAGGACAUGAGUAACACAAAGAUGUAUACUAAGGUCUUUGUUUAGUGCACCCCGAAAUUCAAAAACUUUUCAAGAUUCCCUAUCACAUCGAAUCUUACGACAUAUGCAUGAAGUAUUAAAUAUAGACGAAAACAAAUAUUAAUUACACAGUUUGUCUGUAAAUCACGAGAUAAAUCUUUUGAGCCUAGUUAGGCCAUAAUUGGGCAAUAUUUAUUAAAUAAAAACGAAAAUGCUACAGUGUCGAAAUAAAAAAAAUUCGGAACUAAACCAGGCCUAAUUGGCAUGCGAAAAAUGGUAACAGGACUCCUGUUCUAUCUCUGCGAAACCUCUGGCGGCCAAAAAAUUGGUCGGUGAUUACUAUACUUACAACUUACACACAAAUUAAACCUGCCUAACAUGGCGAACGCUCCACCAACACCAAUACAAUAGUGAUCCGCGCAAUUGUGCAUGCAUGUCUAUUUGCAUUUUAUAGCCUAGCUCUCGAAACCAGCCGCGUCGCUCCACCGGGCCUCCGAUUCUGCGAGCCAGAGCUGCCGGUUUCCGCCAGAGCUGGCGGUCUCUCUCGAAACGGCACGGUGGACUGUGGCAGACUGGCAGUCGCGUGUGAUGUGACCUGACCUGACCCUGGGUCUCCGAGACGCCGAGACGGACGGACGUCUCUAGUCCACCGAGGCUCGCACCGAGGAACCCCGUGGCCUGUGGAUGCAAGUGAAAAAAAAAGGUUUGCUCAAGCGUUCGUAUAUUCUUCCUUUCCUUCACGAGAAAGAAAGAAUCUAGCAUUAGUAAAUCGUAAUCGUACCAAGGCUUUGUUUAGUUUUCAAAAAAUUUUGUAAAAAAUUCCAGAUUCUUCGUCACAUCGAAUCUUACGGUGUAUAUGAGCCGAAUCAGACAGCUAUUCAACAAUAUUUUUCUCUCACAACAAAUCAGCUAACAAUACUUUCUGCCACGGCUUAUCAGGCAAACGAACAAGAUAAUCUAUAAUUAGACAAUAUUUGUCAAAUACAAACGAAAGUACUACCGUGUCCGUUUUGCAAAAAAAAAAAACAGAAGUAAACAAGGCCCAAAUGUGGAAGCAUCGCGAACUAAGGCCUUGUUUAGUUCACACAAAAAACAAAAAACUUUUCAAGAUUUCUAAUUACAUCGAAUCUUGCAACACAUGUAUGGAGUAGUAAAUAUAGUAAAAAACAAAAACUAUCUACAUAGUUUGCCUAUAAAUCACGAAAUAAAUCUUUUGAACCUAGUUAUUAGUUUAUAAUUAGAUAAUAUUUAUCAUAAACAAACGAAAAUGCUCCGAAAACUUUUCAUUUUGCCAACAGGCGACAGCAGCAUAUGCAGAGACGGCAGAAUCUGAGUGAGACAGAGACAGGUGUGAAACCCUGCCUAAAACCUGGUGUCUAGUUAGGCUUUAUCAGGCCCUGCACGUGAUUAGUGCUUCUUGGGCAAGUUCAGGGGAGGUUAAUCGCUUUUAUCAUUGUACUAGCUACUACCAGCCAGUACCACCAGAGUUGAGUGGUUGACUAGGUUGCCUAAUUCUGCCAUAAAAUGCAAAAGCAUAAGGCUUAGUUGAGGUGAAAAGUUUUUGGAUAUGGUAACACUUUUAUUUUUAUUUAAUAAUUAUUGUCCAACCAUAAAAUAACUAGACUUAAAAAGAUUUGUCUCACAAAUUACAAAUAAAAUAUAUAAUUAGUUAUUUUUUAUCUAUAUUUAAUAUUUUAUGUAUGUGUUGUAAGAUUCGAUGUGACGUGAAAUCUUAAAAGAUUCUUAGGUUUUGAAGGUGAGCCUAACAAGGCUUAAGACUGACGACGACUCCUCUCGUCCAUGGUUUCUGUGUACGUGCCCCAGCGUCUGAGUUUAGCUUUGUUUAGUUCCUUCUUUAAAAUUUACUUCAUAUCUCAUCGAAUAUUUGACACAUAUAUAAAGUAUUAAAUAUAUAAUAAAAAAUUAAUUGUACAAAUUAUGACUAUUUUAUACAUAUUUAUUGUAGCACCAUAUUGUUAAAUCAUAGACUAAUUAGAUUUAAAAUAUUCAUCUCAUAAAUAGUCAUAAUUUGUGUAAUUAAUUAUUUUUAAAAAUCUAUAUUUAAUACGCCACGUAUAAAUUUAAAUAUCUGAUGGGAUAGGUAUAGGUGUCAAUAUUAGAUGAGAUAAGUCCAAGCUAAAAACGCGAAACCCCGGGCGCUGUUGGGUUCUGACUUCUCAUUCUCGACCCUGAGCAGACGAGUGACAAGCAUUCAUGGAUUCACCUGACGAAUCUUGACAAAAAAGAAGAAAUGAUAAAUUUGUUAUAGGACUAUUUUAACAUUAGUAUUUGCUUAUACACAGUACUCGACAUUCUCUUUGCUAGAGAGCACUCUUUAAUCGAGGUAUAAUUAACUAUUAUAUACACUAUAGGUAUUAAAAUAGAAAAAAUAUUGGUCUCCAGGAGUGCAGGGGAGAACUAUGUAUCUACUCUACCCUAACCUAACCUGCUGCUGUCAAAACAAAAUAAAAUAAAACAAAACAAAAAACAAAAAAACACUAACCCUCAAUAGUUGUCUAAUUAGAAAUUUUGCAUAUAAAGUGAGGUAAAGACGAACAUUAUAUCAUACUUGUAGAGAUCUAUAACAUUAUAGUUGAUAUGUGUUUUUUAAUUAUUUAGUGCCAAAAAAUAAGUUCUAAUAUUUUGGAAAAAUCAAAAUUUAGAAUUUCCAAAUGAUCUCGGAUGUUGAUGUGGUAUCCAAAAAAAUUGUACUUGCUCUAUUCCAAAUUGAAAAUCAUUAUAAAUUUUCUAUAUAUAUUGUUUUUUCUAGAUUGAAGGAUGCUUAACUGAUGUUGUCAGUUAAACUGAGUCUGAAAAAAUGGCAUAAUGCGCCUAAGCUAGAGACUGAUAGACGAGAAAAAUAUUGGGUGCAACAUCUGUUGCCAGUGAUGCGGAUUCUUCGCAUCCUCAGCCCAUAGUUCACCCCUCGGUGCAACAUCUGUUGGAUGAGUUUGCUUCAGUUUUCACCGAGCCAUCUAGUCUUCUGCCUCGCCGAGCCUGUGAUCAUACAAUACCCCUGGUCUCUAGGGCACAACCAGUCUCAGUCCAUCCAUAUCGUUAUGCAUUAGCUCUUAAAACUGAGAUUGAGCAACAAAUCAUCGAAAUGUUGCAAAACGGUCUGAUACGGCCUAGCAAGAGUGCCUUCUCAUCUCUUGUUCUCCUGGUCUGCAUGAAAGAUGGCAACUGGAGAUUCUGUGUCGACUAUCGCAUGCUCAAUGCCCUGAUUGUCAAGUCCAAAUUUCCCAUACCAAUGGUUGAUGAACUGUUGGAUGAACUGGCUAAUGCUUCCUGGUUUUCAGUGUUAGAUCUCUAGGCUGGUUUCAAUCAGAUCUGUCUCGCUCCAGGCGAAGAAUACAAGAUGACAUUUUAGACACACAGGGGUCAGUUUGAGUAUUCAGUGAUCUCGUUUGGGUUAACUCGAGCACCAAAUACAUUCCAGGGCGCUAUAAAUACCACGUUGUGUUCAUUGCUUUGCAAAUGCGUCAUCAUCUUCUUCGACGACAUACUGGUUUACAGUUCUUCACUGGAGGACCACAUUGGCCAUCUCCGCCAGGUACUCCAGUUACUUGCUCGAGAUCAAUGGUAGGUUAAAUUGUCCAAGUGCCGGUUUGCACAGUCCAGCAUAGCAUAUUUGGGACAUGUCAUCAGUGCAGCGGGGGUUACCAUAGAUCCGUCCAAGGUUCAGUCUAUCAGGGAUUGGCCAGUGCCUUCCGAUGUUAAGUAGCUUUGCAGUUUCCUUGGCCUUGCGGGAUAUUACAUGAAGUUUGUUCAUAACUUUGCCAUUUUGGCUCGCCCCUUAACAGAAUUACUCAAGAAGGGUGCCAUGUUUGUCUGGACUCCAAAUCAUGACUUAACCUUCAGAACACUUUAGAAAACCUUAGUUUCUGCCCCAGUCCUGGCACUCCCAAAUUUCAGUAAAACAUUCUAGAUCCAAACUAAUGCAAGCGAUCUCGGUGUUGGCGCUAUUCUGUUACAGGAUGGGCACCCCCUGGCCUACGUCAGCAAGGCUCUCGGGCCUCGAACUCAUGGCCUCUCAACAUAUGAGAAAGAAUACUUGGCAGUGCUAGUGGUAGUGGAGCAAUGUCACACAUAUUUGCAGCAUGGGGAGUUCACCAUAUUCACAAAUCAGCGAAGUCUGGUUCAUAUCACAGAUCAACGCUUACACACGCCAUGGUAGCUCAAACUAUUCACAAAGUUGGUGGGUCUGCAAUACAAGAUAGUGUACAAGGCUGGAGCUUCAAACCAAGCCAUGGAUGCUCUGUCCCAUCACCCAGCUCCACCAUCUCAACUUAAUGCAGUUUCAUCUUCGUCCCCAGUGUGGUUGUCGUACGUGGUUGCUGGCUACGGGAAUGACCCAUUUACUACUAAGCUGCUCCAAGAUCUCUUGCUUGCUCCAGAUUCCAAACCUCCUUAUACGCUGACUAAAGGGGUUCUGCGCCUGCAGAAUAGAAUUUGGGUUGGAAACAACAAGGAUCUGCAACUUUGUCUCAUCUCAGCUAUGCAUAUGACUGCAAUUGGAGGCCACUCGGGGUUCCCAGUGACUUUCAGCAAACUCAAAGGUCUCUUUGCUUGGCGAGGCAAGAAAGCAGAUGUCGAAGCCUUCGUUACCUCUUGCUCAGUAUGUGCAUAGGCUAAGCUAGAUAGAGCUCGCUACCCAGGGCAACUUGCUCCCUUAUCGGUUCCAACCGAGUCUUGGCAGGUGGUCUCCAUGGAUUUCAUCGAGGGACUUCCUCGCUCUAGCUGUUCCAAUUGCAUCAUGGUUGUCGUGGACAAGUUCAGCAAAUAUGCUCAUUUCGUUCCACUGUCACAUCCAUUCAGUGCUCAGCAAGGUCGCGCGAGCAUUCCUCGACAACAUUUAUCGCCUACACAGUCUGCCAACACACAUAAUCAGUGACCGCGACCGCAUUUUCACAAGUGUGUUCUUGCGUGAACUCUUCCGCCUCGCCCAGACCACACUGUCUAUGAGUUUAGCUUACCACCCCUAGAUAGACGGUCAGAUGGAUCGCGUCAACCAAUGUCUGGAGACGUUUCUCUGCUGCUUCGUUCACUCCUGCCCAAGAGAGUGGCUCAAAUGGCUCACCUUGGUUGAGUUCUGGUACAACACAAGUUUUCAUUCCUCCAUCAACGGAACACCGUUUGAGGUACUGUACGACCAUUUUCCCCAUCAUUUUGGAUUGUCUGCUUCUUCAGUCUCAUCCUCUUCCGAAGUCGAAGCUUUCAUGACCGAACAUGCUACAAUGAGGGAUUCUGUCCACCAACAUCUUUUGCGAGCUCAACAACGCAUGAAGUCACAGGCUGACAAGCGCCACUCUGAACGUACCUUCAACGUUGGUGAUUCUGUCUAUCUCAAGCUGCAACCGUACGUUCAGACGUCGCUGGCACCAAGAGCACAUCAGAAGCUUUCAUUUCAUUACUUUGGACCAUUCACUAUUCUUGAGCGGAUCAGUUCCGUCGCCUACAAAUUGCAGCUGCCUCCCUCAUCCUCCAUCCAUCCAGUGUUCCAUGUGUCUUUGCUCAAGCCGGCCACUUCGCCUAGGUACCCUGUCUCUCUGACGCUUCCUAAUGUUGAUGAUGACCUCCAGGUGCCUCAAGCAGUGCUCUAGAAGUGUAUUCACCAACGCCAUGAUGGCGUAGUGCCUCAAGUCCUCGUCUAGUGGUUAGGUCUCAUGCUUCUCUUGCCACCUAGGAGGACAAAGUACCUCUUCAGUAGCAGUUCCUAGAUGCUCCAGCGUGGGGUCACGUCGUGUCCCAAGGAGAGGGGAACAAGGCCUAGGAAGGAAGAAGCUCCCGUCCACGGCGCAAGAGCUUAAAGGUCCACGACCCACAAUGGGUCUGUAAUCAUUGUGAGAUGAAGGGGAACUAGAAAAGGGGAUGAGUAGUCAUUGGGAAAAUCAUCAUGAAACAUGUAUUAAGUUGUAAAUCCUAGAACUUAUCUGGGACCUCGUUGGCCUGUGGAACCUGUCUUCUUCGAAUCGAUAGCUGAGAGCCACCGGAGUUCGUCGGCUACUAACACAAUUUUUGUUAGCACAAACCUUCAGUCCAUGUCUUCAGUCUGUUGUAACUUGUAUCUGACAUCGUUCUGUAUCCAUCACGUCGCAUGUUGCAUUCUGCUGCCAACCUUUCUUUCUUUUUAUUUCAGUUUCACCUAGGUGUUGUGUGCCCGCCAAUGCUGUCGUGCCACCAAGAAUAGCAUGACGGCGGUGCACAGGGCUGCCUAGGAGAAGUGUGCGGCUGCCAUGGCAUGGCGCGGUGCAACAAGGAGGUCAUCACUGCGGAGGAGGCUGCCACUAGGUACCGCGCCAGGGGGCAGGAACCCACCAAGCUCUUCGGCCUCGGCCUCUUCAGCAGAUUGUGUUUCCCCUACUGAUUGCGUUUGCCUCCUCGGCCCUCUCAGUUGCUUACCUUGUGUCCUUGCCUCCUUUUUUAUGGUUCUGGUGCUGGUGCUGGCACACAGAAUUGGCCUCCUUGUUCAUCGUCUAUGUAAACUUACAUCAUACUAUAGAAGACAUCUCGUGUGUACAUGUAUAUGUGUUGCUACACCUAUGAAGCUAUUACUUUUUCUAGGUGUGUUUGAUUACUUUCAUGACACUGCAUCGUAUAUCCUACAUGAGUGGACGUGGCAGAGUGGAUAUAUUAUUAGUCUGAUAAAAAAAGGUAUUAUUUUGAUUAGUUACAUGGUGAAUAUAAGAAUUUGCUAUGAAGAUAUUUGGUUGCCUAUGUAGAUAGCUAUAUGGAUGAUAUAUGGCCUGGCAAGAUUGAAAGGUCCAAAUGGCUAGAGGGAGAGUGAAUAACCUAUUUAAAUUUUCUAUAAACUUUACUAAACAAGUGAGUUAGUAAAAUAAGUGGCGAAGCUAUUCUAGCACUAGCACAACUAAGCUAUGCAAGCCACCUACACACAGUGUUCGCCUAAACGGCCGAUUAAACGAUCAUUAAACGGUAAACGGUGGCAAACUAUUUUGUUUAGGGAUAAACAAAAAAUUAAACGGUUGACCAUUUAAACGGUCAAAAAAUGGGAAAAAACGGUCUAAACGGCCUAAACGGAACGGUUGUAAACGGUAUUAAACGAGCUAAACGGUUGUUUAAACGGUCGUUUAGGCAAACAUCAGGUGAAUCUAGUUGAAUCUUAUAUUAAUAAUUUGUAUACUUAAAUUUAUUAUAUUUAUAAAUAUGUAAAAUUGAUUUGUUACUUACAUAAAUAUGUAUAUUUGAUUCUUCUAACAUGCAUAAAUAUAUAUACAUAAUAAAAUAAAUGGUUUUUAGUUGCAUAAAUAUGUAUAAAUGAUAGAAUGAUUGAUUUUACAUUAAAAAUAUGCAUAUUUUUGUAAUAUUGUGUAAAACCGUUUAGACCGUUUUAAUCCGUUUAAACACCAUCUAAAGAGUUUAAACGCUAAACGAAGAGUGACUGACUGUUUACCGUUUAGCGUUUAGGAUAACAUUGCCUACACAAGUCUAGCAAGAAGGCUAAACACUAACCACAACAACCAGAGAAGACUACACAACAACUGUACUCUAAACAAGGACUAAACUACACAAGCCAAACAACUAACAAGAUUGGCAACCGUAAAGAGAAGAGAGUGAUUAUUAUACCAACGUUGUAGAGAUGAGAUAUAUCUGAUCAAUCACAUACACAAUCACAAGAGAGACCUCGGUAAGAGAUGAUACAAGAUUUUUUUAUCGAGGUUCACUUGCUUCACGGCAAGCUACUCCUCAUUGUGGCGAUACACCCACUUGAUGGAUCACGAGCUAAUUGGCAAUCCAAAGCCAAACCCUCAGCGGGUGCCGCACAUCCACUCCAAGAUAGGGAUCCUCCAAGCCACGAGCAAUCCACUAGAGUAGCCAAUUGCGAUCUCCCGCGGGGAAGGCUCAAGAAUACCACAUAAAUCACUUGGUGAGGCUUGAAACAAUCUCCAAUCACGAGCUCAACACCUCCGCUGCUCCAAGCCAUCUAGGGCAUAAGGAAACAUCCAAGAGUAACAAGAAAUCCACAGCAAACUCAAGAAUCAAGUGCCACUAGAUGUAACUCACUAAGCAAUGCACUUGAAUCUCACUCAAUCACACUAGAAUUAGCAAUUAAGCAAGGAGAUGAGUGGAGGGAGUAUUCUCUAGCUCAGUGUAUGCCUCAAGUAAUCAAAAGUGUGCCAGCCAGGACCCCCCAAAGUCGGUCACCUCCUAUUUAUAAGCCCCUCAAAGAGAUAGAGUCGUUGGCUCUGUCACUGGGCUAAAAUCGGGGGCACUAGCGCUCAACAGGGAGCCACCAGACGCUUGACCCCCUGCGUUCGGUGCUCUGGAGUUAGCCACAUGUCCACCUUUGAAUCUCGCGUGUCAAACUCUAACGGUCACCUGUGGACCACCGGACGCGACUAAGUGAGCAUUGGACGCGUCCGGUACUCACCGGUCACGUGCACAGAGAGUUUGUCAAACUCAGAUCUCACUCCGGUGCUCACCGGACUCGUGCGCAGAGAGGUCUACAAAACUACCGCACACCGAACUCACACCACUGGACGUGCCUAGAGCAUCCGGUGCUCUCAGUCAGUAACACCUGAAGGAGCCAGGCAACACCGGAGUCGCCAACACGAAAAACCCUACGUCUGGUGCAAUGCGUCCGGUGCUCAACCCUAAUAGAGCCAAGCACUGACAGCACACUGGACGCUAAAGCCAGCGUCUGGUACCUCCACGCACUGCGUCUGGUGCCCGCGACUUCCCCAAAUUUCCCACCGAUGUAAUAGAAAAUAUACACUUAAUUUUCUCAAGAGCGCCGAACCCCUCUCAACCCUAGGAACUCCAUGUCCUUUGCAAAUGUGCUAACACCAACAAGUGUCUACCACCAAAGUGCAUGUGUGUUAGCUUUCACAAACAUUUUCAUCAAAGGAGUUAAGUUAACACUUUACUAGAUCCUAAUGCAUAUGCUCAAUAUAUAGACCUAGUAGCACUUGAUUCGAGAGAUAACCGUGAUUUCCCCUCUUGAUAGUCGGCUAUCUAUCCUAAAUCCGGUCAAUCACUUCUCUACUCAACUUAGACCGGCAAAAGCAAAAACCUAUGUUUAUACCUUUGCCUUGAUCACUUGACUCCUUGUCUAUCAUCAUGAUCUCCACUUCAUCUCGUUGUGAUCAUGUGGCCACCUUUCCAUGCCACCAUGGACCUUCAUCACAUGCGUUGCUAUGCCUAACUCAAAUCACUUAAACACAAGGCAUUAGCAACUUGGUGUCAUUAAUUACCAAAACUAAACUUGGGCUUUCAAAGAUGUCCACCGGCUAGGAUGGUUAGUGAAGCUCUAUUUGAGCAUAUCUGUCACGCUAGAAUGAGGACUUUUUUUUGCAUCCACUCAGUAUGCAACAAGGUAUAUUUUUUUACUCAGAACUUGUUUGUUUGAGUUUAUCUGCCAAAUCUAUCAACUAUUCGGUAGUAUUUUUAUUUCACAAUAAAUCAACAAACAAAUACUUUAGGCUCGAUUUUAUGAAUCCACCCACCAAAGCAAAGAGGAUGCAACUAACCAAACACACCUAUGUAUACUAUUAGAUAUGGAUGAUGUAUGUAGUCUCUCUAAUGCAAGUUGUUGUUACAAGUUACAUUACUAGCGUCUUCUAUUUUUGAAGGGCUUGAGUAGAAGCUCUAUUGUACUUGUGUAUUUGACCUACAAGUAUAUAUGUGUGCUUAGGCACAAGGUUUCAAAAGGCGCUGGCAGUUUCUAGGUGACUAACCAUGGCCUAGAGCCUAGGUGUAGGCGUUUCAAGAUGAUUGAAUUUUUAUACACUUAUAUAUAUAUAUAUAUAUAUUACUUUAAGUUAGCUUAAGUAAAAGAAAUAAGAGACACGUGGACCUAAAGAUAGAAGAAAUCCUAACAAAAAGGCUCAGCCCACCUUAUCCAUCCGCGAUUCCACAAUCUCCUCUCUCAACCGCAAUCGCAUGAACCACCGCACGCCCGCACUCUGCUUUCUCCGGCUCCCUUCCCUGCUAGUGACGUGUGCCUUCUUCCUCCUUCGAUGUGCGUUGUAUGUCUAGUGUCUAUGCUUCCUCCUCCUUAGUCCUCCCUCCUGCUUCGGCGCCGCGCGCACACUCCUCUUAGCUGCGCCUGCCAUCUCCGUGGCCACACAACCGUCAUCUAUGCUAUCGCCCGUCCUCACAACGGCGACCGCUCGCCUUUCAGCCAGUCGUGCCCCAGCCUGUGCUCGUCGUUUGCGGCCUCCUGGUCACACCAACAGCCCGCCUUCCUCUUGGCCACUCUUAUCCUCGACCUACCCUCAUAGGCGAGGCAGCACCCCUCCGCCUAGUGCAUAAGCGCGCCCAAGCAAUAUUAGGUGCUCAGACGACUAUGAUGGGAUACGACGUCAAAAUGACACAACAAAACUACCGGAGGGUUAUUUAAACACUAUUAGGUGCUUUAAGGGCCACAAUAUCAGUAGAUUAUGUGGACCUUUUCCUACUAUUUGUAGACUUACCAUCAUGUCAGCAUCCAUGUAACGUGCCAUAUGUGUGAAAUCGCCUUCAAAAUUAUUUUAUGGGGUUAUUUAUAUAGCUUUCAAUAAUUUAAGAGGUCAAAUAGUUAUGGAAUUAAGUAGAACUUUUCUUCUAUUAAUGAAAGAGAAGGGGGAAACGGGAUGAAAAGUCAUCCCACCUGAUGACACACCCAAAAUAAAAAACUUUAAAUAUACUAGAAAUAAUUAGCUACUCCAAAACUAAAACAUACGCUUCUAUAAAAACCCUAAUCACGAGUUAUUGAAGAUCUUUAUCUUCAGAUAAGUAACACAGAACAUACUCAUCAUCUCCAACUACCUACUUGAUUGUUAUGGCAUUUGGCUUCACACUAUUAAAAAACUAGCAAUUCAUCCGUUCCAUAUUUCCAUGCCACUAGGAUGAUGAGAGAAUUGAGGCCUUCCGUGAGUUUCUUUGGCAAUAUUUUUAUUGCUUGGCACCACCAAUAUGAAAACCUACCCGUAUUGGUAUGAGACGCUCUAAGGGUUAGACCUAACUUCUAAAGAACUACAAUCUAAGUUUGACGAGCAAAACACAUGAGUCAAGAAGGCGUUUGAUGGAUUCUUUAGUUUGAUAAUAAAGAAAAUAGACGAUCAUGUGAGAAAGAUCACUCUUGGCAAGAUGAUCAGGAAUUCAACAUGGAUUUUUCAUUGCAAGCCAAAUGAAAAUUUUGAAGUGCCCGAUUUUUCUAAAUAUCGCUCUAAGACGUGAAUUGAACCCUUCUCAAGAAAAAGGCACUAUACAAACAAUCAUUCCUUUUAAUUAGAGCCACACAAGCAAGAUUAAUUUUACUCAAUGAAACAUACAAAUCCUAUAACAAUCAAUGUGAGUCGAAAGGAUGAGUCGUUAAAAACCGUAACAACAAAGUUUAGAACACAUCUCGUAGUAAAAUCUAUAUCUGUGAGAGUAUUGGCGCUCAGAGAACACCUUUGAUGCUACUUACGAAUGGCUGGAUGACGUGUGAUUGUUGCGUCGGCUAACACAAAUUGAGCUAUCUCAAAUCAAACACAUACCUCCCUGCUAAUUGGAUAGAAGUGCACGAGGAAGAUAACUUCCAAGACAAAACACGCUUACUAUAUACUAAUAGUAAUAUAUAUAAGCAUGAACUUUGAUUUAGAGUAUAUCCAUAUAGCAACAGAAAAACUGUCCAAAUUGUGACACGUCAGCUCGCAGAUUUUGAGUCUGUUUGUUUGUCUUAUAAGAUAUUAUUUUACAGACAACAAUAUUUUUCUCUUAUAAAUAAAUUAACAAAUAAUAUUUUUAAUCUUAACUUUUCUAACCAGCGGACAUACUCUUUAUAAACAAACCACCCUACAAAAAUUGCAAAGCUUCAAAAGAUACCCCCGCUUGACGAUUUCUCCCCGAGCCUACCUGGCAAGUGGCAACCUUACCCUCGAAAGCGAACGCUCACGGAUCCAUCCACCUCCAAAGUCCAAAAGCGAAAUCCACGACCGCCGCAACGGUGAAACCGUCGGAACCCUAGAUCUCUCUCGCCCGUGCUGCAAAACCCCAGAUCCGCCAUGCACCAGCCCAGAGCCCGCUACCCGCCCGGCUAUGGCUCCGGCGGCGGAGGCGGAGCCGGGCGUGGCGGCGGAGGCGGCAAUGGAGGCGGCGGCGGAGGCGGUGGCGGAAACCACAACUACUACGGCCGGAACCCGCAGCCACAGCAGCAACACCACCACCAACAGCAGCAGCAGCAGCAGCAGCACGUGCAUAGGAACUCCUCGCACCAGCAGCAGUGGCUGCGGCGAGACCAGGCCCCCGCCGUUGCGGGGGCAGCGUCCGGAAACGCUGCGGCUAAGACGGCGCCUCAGCUUGACGCCAUAGGCUCGAGGUACUGCUUUUGCUUAUCUGCACAUCUCCUCUGGUGAACCAUAUUUGUAUACUCUGCUUGGUGCUCUGGCGAUCUCUAGGGUUUGUGCUUUGUUUUUAGAUGUAGAGGCGACAACAUGCGGGGUGUUGGAGUGAUUUUGGUUGCUUCACUGGUUAAAUUUGUCCUACUGUUAUAUCAUGCUGACGUGAGUUAAUGAGCUUGCUGUUGUUGACUAUUCUUUGAUUAUGUCAGGUUUCUGGAAAAAAAAUACAACAAUUGCUGUAAAAAUGACUAUCACUGUUGUAAAUUUGAUCUGCAUUUGUAUAUUUUUUUUGCCCUUCAUCUUGUGUUUUCUAUGUAUAAAGUGUGUGAUUUUGACAUUUGUUUACCCGUCGCUGCUAUUCUCUACUUACCUGUUAUAUAAAUGAUUCACUUGGGACUGUAUUGUAUUCAGCACUAGCAUGUCAUGAUGCUAAUUAAACUUUAUCUAUUACUAGCAUAAUCAAUGAGCUUUUCAUUUGUUUGUUUCAGUUCUCAUGAUUGGAAGGCUCAACUAAAUAUACCAGCUCCAGAUACACGCUACAGGACAGAGGUGAGUUCUCUUUCUAAUACUUAUUAUCCUUCUGUGUUCAAGUAUAUAUGCACAAUGCAUCCUUGUCCCUUUGAAUGGUUUCAGAGUAGUUUUUGAGUGGCUCUUGUUUUCUUUUACUUCUACAAGCUAUUGAUAGUUUGCCUCUGAUAUUUGUGUUGUCGUACACAGGAUGUCACUGCAACAAAAGGCAAUGAGUUUGAGGAUUAUUUCUUGAAACGUGAACUGCUUAUGGGAAUCUAUGAAAAGGGAUUUGAAAGGCCAUCUCCUAUUCAAGAAGAAAGCAUUCCUAUUGCGCUGACUGGAAGUGAUAUUCUUGCAAGGGCGAAAAAUGGCACUGGAAAAACUGCUGCAUUUUGCAUUCCAGCACUUGAAAAAAUUGAUCCUGAAAAAACUGCUAUUCAAGGUGAACUAUUCUUUCAUAUGUUCAAAUUGGAAGUAAGCAUAUGGGGUCGUUUAUUUAGUUGCUGCUUGCUUGCUACCAUAACAUGAGCAACUUAACUGGCCACCAAAAAAAAAAAAGUUCCUGUUUCACCAAUUACUCUAUGUAUCCAUUUCUGCUCUAUUUAUGUUGCAAGCCCACUGAAUUAUUGUUAUUACUUUGGUCACCUUAAUGAUUCUGAUAUGGUGAAUGAACCAGUUCCUUAAUCUGUCUUUUUGUAUGUAUAUUAGAUAAAUCCACAUUCUUGAAAUUUUGGUGUGUUGUUUUUAUUGACGUGAGAAAUAAUCACAAAAAAAGUUUGGUACUGAUACUAGUAGGUAUGAAAUGUAGAUUUUUUUUGUGGAGAAGCAGACCAUUUGCACUUAGCAUUCUAUGGCUGUUUGACAGACUGAAUUUGUAAUAGUGCAACAACAUUCUACUUUCUUUGUUGAUCAGUGUGCCUUUUCAAAAACAUGUGUUAUGGAUGAUGUUUAUGUAGUGCCAGUUUUACAUCCACUGGUGAAUUAGUUCAUUGUUGUGUUUCAUGGAGUCUCUUAUUUUUGUUUUCUGGUUCUAUUGGUCUUUCUUCAGUUGUUAUACUAGUACCAACAAGGGAACUGGCUCUGCAAACUUCACAAGUCUGUAAAGAGCUUGGGAAGUACCUGAACAUUCAAGUCAUGGUUAGUACUGGAGGAACCAGCUUGAAGGAUGACAUCAUGCGUUUGUACCAACCUGUUCAUUUACUUGUUGGGACUCCUGGCCGAAUACUUGAUCUUACCAGGAAGGGCAUUUGUGUGCUGAAAGAUUGUUCAAUGCUUGUCAUGGAUGAGGUAUAAAUAAUUACACUUUUUUUUUCUUGUGCUGUAUAUAUUUUAUCAUAGCUUAGUCACUGGAGUGUGUCCUUUUCACAAGUUUCUCUCCCCCAUUUGAUUUACACUAAAUCAUGUCACUUUGCUAUAUGAUGUUGUGUUCCCUCACUGAAAGAAAAGAAUCUGAAGGUUUUUUUGUAUCUCUUUUCAAAAUUUUACUGUGAUGUUGGCCGCCCUUCUGCAUAUGUUCCUGAUGCUAACAUUGGUCUUGAUAAUGCACACUUGUUGGUACACUGCUCAAAUAACAUUCCAGAACCAUGUUGUUCUUGGAGUCUUAUUUCUUAAUUUCUACAAUUUGCUGAUUUGUGGUUUUGUGGGUGCAUUUGUGCCUUUAAAGUGUGUUCAUGGUUUGUAUUUGAUAAUCCAUAGUGCUACAAGCUCAUGUGGGGUUUCAGCUCUAGCCUUUCCAAUUUGGUUGGGGCUAAAAGGCUUUGUUGUUGUUGUCUUGUUGAUAGUGUUAGGCAGUCCCAACGCGACACUACCUCUAGUUUCCAUGGCAUUAAUUAGCUUGCCAUGUAGGCAGAAAAGCUGACAUGGAAUGAGAUUAGAUGAGUAAAGAGAAGGAAAUCAGAUGAAAUCGUUUCCUAUUUGAGAAACAGUGUCGGCUCAAGCUCCAAAGUGUGAAGAAACCGGCGAUUUUGCAUUGGAGACAAGGAGACGUUUCCUCAUGUGGGUCCACAGCCACACCUCGUCGGUGGUAGCUGCUCGCUAACCGCGAGCCUGUUGCGCGCACCUUGCUGCUCCUGUUCUUGCCGCUGGUCACUGCUCGCUCUGUGCGUGCCUCGCCACCAGCUGCUCCUUGCCAGAGCGCACGCCUGGCCACGCUCAGCAGCCAUGCCUCGCCGGUGGCCUCUGCUCCGCAGCCAUGUCUUGCAGGCGACUGCUGCUCGCCACGCAUGCGUGCCUCGCUGCUGGCUGCUGCUCCUUGCGCUCACUGCUGCCCCCUGCAUUUGCGUUGUUUUUCGAUCUGAGUGAGAGAAGAAUUGAGUCAUCCUGGCCAAGGAGCAGACUCGAGAAAAGGAAGAGGAUGCCCAUAUGCAGACUGGAACAAUAGGGAGGAGGAGCCCACGUGAAUGAAGAAAAAGGAAGAAGGGACCCACGUGAAUAUUUCUCGGGUGUGUGGUAUAGUUUCUAUCUGUACUUUCUUGGUGAUGUGGCAGUUAUAGAAACUACCCGGUAGUUUCAGGGUUGGGACUGCCCUUAGUAACUUUCGAAGUCCAUUAUUGUUGCUUCUGCGGUGAUCUGAUGUGGAUGUUGCAUCCAUUUCGUAUGUUAAUAUGUAUAUUAUCUGUCAAAAGUUACAAGUUGAACAAACACAUUAUUUGGGAUAUCAUGCAGGCAGACAAGCUAUUAGCUCCAGAGUUUCAGCCUUCUGUGGAGGCACUUAUUCAUUUCCUUCCACCUAGUCGGCAACUGUUGAUGUUUUCAGCAACUUUUCCUGUAACUGUCAAGGAAUUCAAAGAGAAAUAUCUGCCUAGACCUUAUGUGAUUAAUCUAAUGGAUGAACUGACACUGAAAGGAAUCACACAAUAUUAUGCUUUUGUUGAAGAAAGGCAGAAAGUUCAUUGCCUG
rnacentral:lncRNA from 1 species